rnacentral:lncRNA from 1 species
AGAGACACAACGACGUCUACUUUGUUCCUUGAUUAGCUCCAGAAAGAAAGCAGUGUGAAAAAGAUGAAACACAGAUUUGAAAGCAAUCUUGAAGAUCAGACAGAAAACCAGCCUAUGAAUCAAAGAAGAAAAUCAAAAUCAGACUUCAUAACUGCUUCAGUAACCCUUGGCAACAGACAACACACUGGAUUUUGGCGAAUAACACUAAAAUUUUUGCUGGUGAGGUCUUCAGAAACUGGAUAGAUGUGAAACCACCAGAACAGAAGUGGAGCGGGCAUGGUAUCUGUUUCUUCAAUUUGUAGUUUUAUAGUCAAAAACUGGCAUGUAUAUACUUAAUUGGUAACAUGUAAGUCACGUGCCUCUAUCCCAACUCUAAGAGAGGUUGAGAACUUAAUUUCUGGCUUCUACCUUGGGAAGGAUCAGGCUUAUAAGCUGGAAAAUUAGCCAACAUACACAGGAUAUUCAAAGCUUCUAGGCAGUCAAAAUACUGUCAAGUGGUAAAACAGACAUGAAAAAACCUUUUUUUCUCUCCUAAAUUUAAAAAAAUAUAAUUUUUGUAAAACACUGUAUGUGGCUUUCCAUAAAAUUAAAAGAGUCUUGGGAG